GACAGACCCACGCCUGCCCCACUGCGCUGCUAGAAUUUCAUGUGACCUGUUCCUUCCGCACCUCGCUAAUUCCAUUCAAAGGGAAACAGUGGGGCGCUCAGCACAGCAGGAAGGGAACCAGAGGCUGCAUUCGUUACCGCAAUUAGCGAGGAGGCGAGAAGCAAGUUUUCUGCAGUGAUGACACCCUAGCAGAGCUCCACAGCGAGGUCUACGUUCUCCUCAAAACUCCUGCCGGGCUGGUUCUCUCAAACAAGUCAACUAUGGCCCCUCUGUGCCACAUUCCGCAAACGGCUAUGGCGGACCACCUUUUUAUACCAGAUAUUCGGGGCUCUUCCAACAGUGGUUUUGCAGCAUGGACACCCCUCCAGGUCAGUUGCCACCUCUGCCACACACCACUCUAGUAGGCACAGGCAGAAGGUAUUUGCCAAUGGGACCCUCCUACUUUUGCCACAGAGUGCCAGACCUACCCCUCCAGACUCCACAUCUCAGUAGAAAGAAAGCCAAUUCCAAAUGGCAGAGUUGGGAGUAUCAUGUGUGCGUGCGUGCGUGUGUGUGUGUGUGUGUGUGUUAGGGGUGCCCUUGCUCAUCUCACACCUCAAGCCACUGCGCGUUUGUGUCUCUCUCUCCCUCAAGGACCAACUUGAAGCAAGGGGAGAGGAACACAAUUCCAGUUCCCUCUCUCCCGAGGAAAUGAACUCCAUUAGAAUCUCGUUCCCACCAGGCAUGAUGGGAUAUGUAGUCGUGCAAGCUCUCCUCAAUGGGACUGGGGUGCUCGGCUGAGGAGCAUCUUGUCUUUGUUGCAUGCCAUUUCACA